CUCUCUCUCCCUCUUCCUGUGCGUGGUCACCGUGGCCAAAUUGGCCACGGCGCCGCUCGCGUCGUGCGUCCCCGCCAAACCCCUGCUUCCGCGUUGCCGUUCUCGAGCCUUCUCGAGCUCGCCUCCUCGCUACCUCCCCUGCGUGCUUGCCGCCGUCGCCCAGACCCCGCCGGCCUCCCAUGCUCACGCGUGAAUGCCGUCGCCGCGCACGCCGCACGCCAUGGCCGCCGUCGUCCCUGCUCUCGUCGAGCCCCUUCCUCCACCCCACCUCGAACCAAACCGACCCCGCAGCCGGCUUCACCUCGCCCCCAGGAAGCUCACCGACCCUUUCCCCGCCGCUCACGACCGUCGAAGCGCCGUGGCCGCCGCUAGCCACCACCGCUGGCCGCCUGCUCCCGUCGCUGGCCCUCCUCCGGCCACCCCGGCAUCAACCGAGACCACCCAGAGGUACGAUAGAUGAACCAUAUGAAGGACGUGCUAUUGGAGCCUAACCCGAAGACGAUGUUGGUGGACAUAUCCCGAAGACGGAUGGAUGGAACCCGAUGUGCAUGACCAAAGGAAGAUGCUCGCCAAGCGAGUAUCAUCUAACUAACACUGACUUAGUGUUAAUCCCAGGCAAGCCCCGGUGCACAUCCUAUUAUUUGAAAUUAUGACAUCUAUAUAUGUAUUUAUUAUUUGUGCAUUACGUUUCAGGAGUUGAUUGGAACCCUAGUUGCAUGAUCCCUAGGUUUCCCUGAAUUAUACUAGCAUGUAUAGGACGAUAGAAAUGCUAUGCUUAAUACUUCUCGAUAGAAGUCGAGUGACUUGUUGCACUCGCGAGAUAUAGGAUACUUAGAAGUCGAGUAAUUUCCGGUUACUCGCGAGAUAUAAGUUAUAUACUUAUAUACAGUACCUGAGUUGUUGAAAUUGACAUGGAAAUA